rnacentral:rRNA from 1 species
GGGGCGGUGCUAACUGCAGUCGAGCGACAGAUAAGGAGCUUGCUCCUUUGAAGUUAGCGGCGGACGGGUGAGUAACACGUGGGUAACCUACCUAUAAGACUGGGAUAACUUCGGGAAACCGGAGCUAAUACCGGAUAACAUUUAGAACCGCAUGGUUCUAAAGUGAAAGAUGGUUUUGCUAUCACUUAUAGAUGGACCCGCGCCGUAUUAGCUAGUUGGUAAGGUAACGGCUUACCAAGGCGACGAUACGUAGCCGACCUGAGAGGGUGAUCGGCCACACUGGAACUGAGACACGGUCCAGACUCCUACGGGAGGCAGCAGUAGGGAAUCUUCCGCAAUGGGCGAAAGCCUGACGGAGCAACGCCGCGUGAGUGAUGAAGGGUUUCGGCUCGUAAAACUCUGUUAUUAGGGAAGAACAAAUGUGUAAGUAACUGUGCACAUCUUGACGGUACCUAAUCAGAAAGCCACGGCUAACUACGUGCCAGCAGCCGCGGUAAUACGUAGGUGGCAAGCGUUAUCCGGAAUUAUUGGGCGUAAAGCGCGCGUAGGCGGUUUCUUAAGUCUGAUGUGAAAGCCCACGGCUCAACCGUGGAGGGUCAUUGGAAACUGGGAAACUUGAGUGCAGAAGAGGAAAGUGGAAUUCCAUGUGUAGCGGUGAAAUGCGCAGAGAUAUGGAGGAACACCAGUGGCGAAGGCGACUUUCUGGUCUGUAACUGACGCUGAUGUGCGAAAGCGUGGGGAUCAAACAGGAUUAGAUACCCUGGUAGUCCACGCCGUAAACGAUGAGUGCUAAGUGUUAGGGGGUUUCCGCCCCUUAGUGCUGCAGCUAACGCAUUAAGCACUCCGCCUGGGGAGUACGACCGCAAGGUUGAAACUCAAAGGAAUUGACGGGGACCCGCACAAGCGGUGGAGCAUGUGGUUUAAUUCGAAGCAACGCGAAGAACCUUACCAAAUCUUGACAUCCUUUGAAAACUCUAGAGAUAGAGCCUUCCCCUUCGGGGGACAAAGUGACAGGUGGUGCAUGGUUGUCGUCAGCUCGUGUCGUGAGAUGUUGGGUUAAGUCCCGCAACGAGCGCAACCCUUAAGCUUAGUUGCCAUCAUUAAGUUGGGCACUCCAG